rnacentral:rRNA from 1 species
UACCCGCUGCAGCGACGUGGGGUGCAAGAUCCAGCAGUCCCAACCUCGGUCCGGUACUGUAGCAACCCCGCCGUCUAAGCUGGACGGUAGUACCUUGCGAGAUCCGCUUCUGGCUUCUCCUCCACCUCCGCCUCAACCCCCGCGCAAGCCUUCUACUCUAACCUGCUCGCCGUCCCUGUUCUCGGUGCGCUCCCUUAUUUCCUUCUUGGCCCAACCCGGCCUAAAUAAGCCGGUGUUGCGUGCCAGCCAAAGUCAACCGGACCGAGGCUAGCCUGGUCGUCGGACGAGGUAUUACAGAUAUGGCAGCCGGCGUCGUCAGCCGUCCGGGUCGUGCGGGCCCGGGUAACAAAGCCGGGCUCGUGCGCACCAAAAGAUAAGAACUUUCCGUUCUGCAGUUGCAAUCGUGUGAAUGCUCAGAACGGACAAGCCAUACUACGCAAGCGUGUGUGGGUCGUUUGGUCCUUUUUCUUUUUGCGUCGGUGCGAGACGGAGCGCCGCGAGGCGGGGCGGGUUGGGUGGAGGUCGGUGCGGGGCGCGCGGCGGCCGGCUGAGGACGGAGGGUUAGGGAACAGGAGGGGUGGGCCCCGAAAGAAGCGGCAAGUAUCGAGGGGAGGUGACUGACCAGCGCUGGAGCGACCUCCGUGUCCUACCCUCCCACGCCGCGACCGUAGGCCGAGUGUCUCUAGCUCGCCUGGCUAGACGCGCGGCCGCUGGAGCGCCCUCCGUCUCCUACCCUACCGCACGACGCGAGUUCUGCUCGCCCGAGCUCAUUCCCAUAGCCUCCAACCGCGGCCGCCCGAGCACCUGCCCCUACCUCUCCCGUCCACGGUUAGGCGGCACUGUUCUUUCGACGACGCCGCGGCUGGCCGGUCGAGGUAGAGGUGCUAAGGUACCUGCCGCCGGCACCGCUACUACGGUGCCUACCUCCGCGAGCGGCGGCCGGCGCGCGCCGACCUCCGGCAGUUGCGCGACGUCGUGCUCAGGACCGGGGAUCCUCCGGGCGCUGCAAGCGGAGGUCACCCCGGAGGAGUUCGCACACGAGCUCCUCUACAGUCCGCCUACUCUUGACCUCCUACACCCUCCGUUGCACGUACCGGGAUGACGCGAGGCUGCUACUGGCCUACAAGGAGCGACCUUUUGCUCCUCGAAUUCACGUAGGUAGUUCGUUUAACAAACUGGUAAUUAUGUCUCGUGGAGGUACAUGUGCACCAGUUGCACAACGAGCGGCUGGCACAAUAAGAACUCUAGGCGCACUUCUGCCCCCUAGCCCGGAGGUCGUGUUAAGCAAGAAAUCGUUAUGCACAAUCUCGAUACCUACGACUUGAGCGAUCUAAGGAAAAACGAUACAGGCGUCCCUCCAGCGAAGACCGUACAAGGCGUUCAAGUUUUGUUUCUUGUAGAGAUAAACGUGUCGGGAAGUCCCCUUGUUUACCUAAAGACGUGAGGCAGUCCUAAGACUGGCACCUGUUCGACUAGGUCUCUCCUACCGUUCCUUCGCUCUAAACAAGCUACACGUCAAGCGCCCUCCUCAGUCACCUCGUAGAAGAAGACUUGAAGAUAAAACGAGCGGUUAAAACCUCCUCCUAGCGCCGAACCAGAACAAAGCUAAACUCUGUAAUACUGCACUUCUACCGGAGGCCCUCCCGUGCAAAUGGUCCCAUGGUCCUGUAAAGAGUUCAGGAAGAGUGGAAGCGGUAGCGUUGGAGAGAGGAAGUUUGGCAUGAAGGGAUGUUUGGCGGUUCCUCAGGGGGUCGUUGGUGGGGCGAGAGGCGGGAUUGGGGGAGGGGAACACAGGCACGGCUAAGCUGUGGUGGUUGUUCCCCCACCCCCACCUCCUUCGCACUCGGCCAAGAUGUUGGUGUUCACGUCUCGGAGUACGUUACAUUCUAAGCCCGGGUUUGUUACAGCUGUGGUAGAGCGAAGAGAGAACGUCGGUGGUGUAGGGGAGUAAAAAAAAGAGGGGUAAGGUUCACGGAGGAAGAGUUUACGUGUUGGAACGUUCCAUAACAUAAACAGGAGGGUUUAAGAGUCAGAAGAAUGUAGAGUUUAAUAGAGCCCGAGGUUCAUUUACACGUAGGAGUCUACGCGUUGGGACUUGUUUUGUUCCGUAACAUAAACAGGAGGGUACAAGAGUAAGAAGUAUGGAGAGUUUAAUAGAGGUGAUGUGUUUUACACAACGGAGAAGAAUUGCAGGUGAUU